GUCAAGUCAUCAUGGCCCUUACGACCAGGGCUACACACGUGCUACAAUGGCGCAUACAAAGAGAAGCGACCUCGCGAGAGCAAGCGGACCUCAUAAAGUGCGUCGUAGUCCGGAUUGGAGUCUGCAACUCGACUCCAUGAAGUCGGAAUCGCUAGUAAUCGUGGAUCAGAAUGCCACGGUGAAUACGUUCCCGGGCCUUGUACACACCGCCCGUCACACCAUGGGAGUGGGUUGCAAAAGAAGUAGGUAGCUUAACCUUCGGGAGGGCGCUUACCACUUUGUGAUUCAUGACUGGGGUGAAGUCGUAACAAGGUAACCGUAGGGGAACCUGC
rnacentral:rRNA from 2 species